UUGCCUACGGGACGCAGCAGUGGGGAAUAUUGCACAAUGGGGGAAACCCUGAUGCAGCCAAGCCGCGUGAGGGAUGAAGGUACAGAGUAUCGUAAACCUCUUUUGUCAGGGAACAAAGGCGGGGACGUGUCCCCGGAUGAGUGUACCUGAAGAAAAAGCAUCGGCUAACUCCGUGCCAGCAGCCGCGGUAAUACGGAGGAUGCGAGCGUUAUCCGGAUUUAUUGGGUUUAAAGGGUGCG
rnacentral:rRNA from 1 species